UGGGGAAUUUUGCGCAAUGGGGGAAACCCUGACGCAGCAACGCCGCGUGGAGGAUGAAGUCCUUCGGGACGUAAACUCCUUUCGAUCGGGACGAUAAUGACGGUACCGGAAGAAGAAGCCCCGGCUAACUUCGUGCCAGCAGCCGCGGUAAUACGAGGGGGGCGAGCGUUGUUCGGAAUUAUUGGGCGUAAAGGGUGCGUAGGCGGUUUUGUAAGUCUUAUGUGAAAUCUAUGGGCUCAACUCAUAGACUGCAUGAGAAACUGCAGGGCUUGAGUAUGGGAGAGGUGAGUGGAAUUCCUGGUGUAGCGGUGAAAUGCGUAGAUAUCAGGAGGAACACCUGUGGCGAAAGCGGCUCACUGGACCAUAACUGACGCUGAUGCACGAAAGCUAGGGGAGCAAACAGGAUUAGAUACCCUGGUAGUCCUAGCCCUAAACGAUGACUGCUUGGUGUGACGGGUACCCAAUCCCGCCGUGCCGUAGCUAACGCGUUAAGCAGUCCGCCUGGGGAGUACGGUCGCAAGGCUG
rnacentral:rRNA from 1 species